rnacentral:tRNA from 1 species
CACACAGUAGCUUAAUUUGUAAGCUUCAAUAUUCAACACAUUGAUUGUUCCAGUUCGACUCUGGACUGUUUGC